rfam:Schistosoma margrebowiei strain Zambia genome assembly, scaffold: SMRZ_scaffold0000481
GCACUGCUGAGGAGUUCCACAAUAGGACGAAACGGCCGUUCAGUGA